CCGCAAUGGAUCCAUUACAAAGAUUCUUCUUCUUCUAGGGCACGUAGCUACGCACACCCCACAUAGCACGCACUUGACGGCGUCGCACCCUUCCCCUCAUAGCUCACGAACGGCGUCGCCACCCUUCCCCUCUCAGCUCUAUCUCGGUCUUUCACCAACGGCCGUCACCCUUGCCCUCUCAGCCCUCUCUCUGUCUCUCACCAGCCACCUCCAUGGCUUCCGUCACCACUCAUCAACCUCAGAGUCACGACGUGCUGCACUGCUUCUCGCCUCUCAGUGACGACGACCCUCAGCGACGAGGACUGCGAAGUGUGAUGACACUUCUCUGACCCUCAAUGACGACGACUGCUUCUCCCCUCUCGGUCAUGAUGGUGCUGCCCCGGUCGUCCUCUUCUUCUCUUUUCUGACCUCUGCUCAAACUCAGGGAUUUCUCCAAAGAUCGGGAUUUUGGUAGGGAAGCGAGCAGUAUUGGGGAUGUUCCUAUGAAAUAAAAAAUUAGACCCUCAUCUCUGAUCUCCACUCUUAUUCCUUUUGAAGUGUAGUUGCUGCCAUCUCUUUCCAUUCCUUGCAUUUCUCAGCUGGGUUUCCAUCUUUACGCACUUUCUUCUUGCUUCUCUUUAAAUAGUCUUGUUCCUCUUGAAAAGGCUGACAGUCAUGUAGAUCCCCUCUCGGGUGCCCAACACCAUCCAUAGUGGCUGAAGGUUGCAAAUGACGGUCUAUAGCACAUAAAAUUUCUAAGGUUAAAGAUGCUAUUUCAAUAGCAAAUAAUGCAUGCUGGUCUAUUGGAGAACUUGUAGUUAAGAUUCAAGAAAGAAGAUCAAGAAAAGUUCUGACAUUUAUCCCCUAAUGUGAGAGUUGAAUAGAUUCAAGAAAAGAAGAUCAAGAGAAGUUCUGACAUGAAUGUUGACCAUUUGAAAGCAGUGGGAAAUGGCUAUAGUUCAAGUAAUUCCAGUAGCUCCAUUCCUUACCUUGCAAAUGGAGCAUACCUUCACUAAAAUUACCUGCAGUAGUUGUACUUUGGCCUUUCAGUUGAUUUUUUCCUCCUCACAUUUCUUUCUUGAGGGUAAAACUUUAAUGUGACGUUUCUUCAUGAACAAGAAUUUGAUGUAUUAAGUAUUAACUGGAAAUAAGAGACAAAGCUAUACAAGGUUUAC